GCAAAUUCAACAACAAAAGCAAGUCCACUGGGAAAUCUUGCAAGACUCUUGGUGGCUGUAUAUACUUCAUUGCAGUAUACUACCUUGAUUUCGUUAACUUUGGUAUUCACUUCAUCCCACGUGACAUACCACGCAUAUCUGUUUGGAAGGGAGACAUGAUAAAGAUAUAUUCAAAACGCGAUCAACUUGACAAUCGUAACUAUGGAAGGAAGCCAAUUAAAAACUUAUCAAAGACAUGCUACUCAAAGAUUGAGUAUAUUUCUCAAAGGUUCUCCUCUGGACAAAAUGAUGAUUCUUCACAUCAUACAUCUGAUUUUAACCAUAAGC